UGGGAUUAAAGGUGUGUACUAAAGGAUUC
rnacentral:piRNA from 1 species